UACGUAGGGUGCAAGCGUUAAUCGGAAUUACUGGGCGUAAAGCGUGCGCAGGCGGUUUUGUAAGUCUGUCGUGAAAUCCCCGGGCUCAACCUGGGAAUGGCGAUGGAGACUGCAAGGCUAGAGUUUGGCAGAGGGGGGUAGAAUUCCACGUGUAGCAGUGAAAUGCGUAGAUAUGUGGAGGAACACCGAUGGCGAAGGCAGCCCCCUGGGUCAAAACUGACGCUCGUGCACGAAAGCGUGGGGAGCAAACAGG
rnacentral:rRNA from 1 species